AGAGUUUGAUCCUGGCUCAGAACGAACGCUGGCGGCGUGGAUAAGACAUGCAAGUCGAGCGGGACAUUUCGGGUAGCAAUAUUCGGAAUGUCUAGCGGCGCAAGGGUGCGUAACACGUGGGCAAUUUGCCAUGAAGCUGGGGAUAACUCCGGGAAACCGGAGCUAAUACCGAAUGUGACCAUUUUGGGGCAUCCCGAGAUGUUUAAAGCUGGGGACCGUAAGGCCUGGCACUUCAUGAUGAGCCCGCGGCCUAUCAGCUAGUUGGCGAGGUAACGGCUCACCAAGGCUAAGACGGGUAGCUGGUCUGAGAGGACGACCAGCCACACUGGAACUGAGACACGGUCCAGACACCUACGGGUGGCAGCAGUCGAGAAUUUUUCACAAUGGGCGCAAGCCUGAUGGAGCGACGCCGCGUGGGGGAUGAAGGGCUUCGGAUUGUAAACUCCUGUUGCUCGGGACGAACGACUACGACCUAACACGUCGUAGUGUGACGGUACCGGGUGAGGAAGCCCCGGCUAACUCUGUGCCAGCAGCCGCGGUAAUAC
rnacentral:rRNA from 1 species